rnacentral:rRNA from 1 species
GACGAACGCUGGCGGCGUGCUUAACACAUGCAAGUCGAGCGGUAAGGCCCUUUCGGGGGUACACGAGCGGCGAACGGGUGAGUAACACGUGGGUGACCUGCCCUUAGCUCUGGGAUAAGCCUGGGAAACUGGGUCUAAUACCGGAUAUGACUCCAUGACGCAUGUUGUGGGGUGGAAAGCCUUGUGCGGCUAGGGAUGGGCCUGCGGCCUAUCAGCUUGUUGGUGGGGUGAUGGCCUACCAAGGCGACGACGGGUAGCCGGCCUGAGAGGCGACCGGCCACACUGGGACUGAGACACGGCCCAGACUCCUACGGGAGGCAGCAGUGGGGAAUCUUGCGCAAUGGGCGAAAGCCUGACGCAGCGACGCCGCGUGGGGAUGACGGCC